AUGGACCUCAAGCUCUCCACCCUCCUCUGCUUCACUCUAUUAUUGUUCACCAUUCUCAUCCCAACUCUCUCCGAACUCUGCAACCCACAUGACAAGAAAGUCCUCUUUGAAAUCAAGGCAGCCUUCAACAACCCUUACAUCUUAAUUUCAUGGAACCCCGACGUCGACUGCAGUACUACUUGGAACAACGUCGAAUGUGAUCCCACCACCAACCGCAUCAUCUCCCUCACUAUCUUAUCCUAUGAUCGUAUCUCCGGCCAAAUCCCUCCCCAGGUCGGCGACUUGCCGUAUCUCGAAACCCUAGUGAUUCGCAAGCAACCAAAUAUAACAGGUCCUAUACAACCCUCCAUUGCAAAGCUCAAACAUCUCAAGACGCUUAGACUCGGGUGGAACAACCUCACAGGCUCAGUCCCUGACUUCAUCAGCCAACUCAAGAACUUGACUUUCCUUGAACUCUACUACAACAAUCUCACUGGCCCCAUCCCCAGCUCGCUUUCUAUGCUACCAAAUUUGGCUUCUCUUCGUCUAGACCGCAACAAGCUCACAGGUAAAAUUCCGAGCUCAUUCGGACAAUUCGUUGGCGUCAUUCCAGACCUCUACCUCUCCCACAACCAGCUAGCAAGAUGGACUUCAGAGGCAUAGACUUGUCACGUAACAUGCUCGAAGGUGACGCAUCGUUCCUUUUCGGGUUGAACAAGACAACACAGACUGUAGAUUUGUCAAGGAAUAUGCUGGAAUUUAAUCUGUCAAAUGUGGAGUUUACCAAGAGCCUGAUUUCACUAGAUUUGAAUCACAACAGAAUCACAGGGAGUAUUCCGGAGGAGUUGACUGAAGUUAAGUUGCAAUUCUUCAAUGUCAGUUAUAACAGGUUGUGUGGUCAGAUUCCAAUGGGUGGGAACUUGCAGAACUUCGACAACACCUCGUACUUUCAUAACCGGUGCCUCUGCGGUACUCCACUCCCGAGCUGCAAGUAAUGCACCGCUGCAUGAAAGCUUAGGCAGCUGGCGAUCAAUAACAAAGGUGCUUGAAAAUAAGCAGCACCUAGGCCUUGCCUGAUAUUUCUCCUUCAAAACGGUCAAGGAAAUUAACAAAUGCAUGUUGACAGGAAUUUCAAUCACAACCUUCUAAAGUGCAUUGUGUUGGCUUGUACCAAAAGAAAAAAGGUUUCAGGUUCACACUUCAAAGUUCAAACUUGGUGAAGUAUUAAAUAUGGAUCCAAAAACUGUACCUCUUGCAUGUAUUGACUCUAUCUUUCAACUAGGUAUAUUAAAAUAACGAUUAAC